rnacentral:rRNA from 1 species
AUUGAACGCUGGCGGCAUGCCUUACACAUGCAAGUCGAACGGCAGCACGGGAGCAAUCCUGGUGGCGAGUGGCGAACGGGUGAGUAAUAUAUCGGAACGUGCCCAGUCGUGGGGGAUAACGCAGCGAAAGCUGUGCUGAUACCGCAUACGAUCUAAGGAUGAAAGCGGGGGAUCGCAAGACCUCGCGCGAUUGGAGCGGCCGAUAUCAGAUUAGCUAGGUUGUGGGGUAAAGGCCCACCAAGGCGACGAUCUGUAGCUGGUUCGAGGGGACGACCGGCCACACUGGAACUGAGACACGGUCCAGACUCCUACGGGAGGCAGCAGUGGGGAAUUUUGGACAAUGGGCGCAAGCCUGAUCCAGCAAUGCCGCGUGCAGGAUGAAGGCCUUCGGGUUGUAAACUGCUUUUGUACGGAACGAAACGGCCCUUUCUAAUACAGGGGGCUAAUGACGGUACCGUAAGAAUAAGCACCGGCUAACUACGUGCCAGCCGCCGCAGUAA